GUUUUUUAAUAGUAUUUCAAUCCUAAAAAAUAUUUAUAUUAUUUAUUAUACAAUAAGAAAUCUUUUUAAACUCUUUAGGAUAUAAUGAAAUUAUAAUUCAAAUAUAAAAGAAACAGACAAUUAGACACAAGAAAAUGACAAACAUAUAAUACAAAGAGUAAAAGGUGAAAGUAAAAAUAGUUAACAAGAUAUAAUUUAACGAGAUCAUGUGAAUUGUACAAAUAUUGUAUAAUAAGUUAAAAACUACUCCAUAUUUUCGUAAAACUUUAUCAAUAAUA